AGUUUGAUCAUGGCUCAGAUUGAACGCUGGCGGCAUGCCUUACACAUGCAAGUCGAACGGCAGCACGGGAGCUUGCUCCUGGUGGCGAGUGGCGAACGGGUGAGUAAUACAUCGGAACGUACCCUGAAGUGGGGGAUAACGUAGCGAAAGUUACGCUAAUACCGCAGAUUCUGUGAGCAGGGAAGAGGGGGAUCGCAAGACCUCUUGCUUUAGGAGCGGCCGAUGUCGGAUUAGCUAGUUGGUGAGGUAAAGGCUCACCAAGGCGACGAUCCGUAGCGGGUCUGAGAGGAUGAUCCGCCACACUGGGACUGAGACACGGCCCAGACUCCUACGGGAGGCAGCAGUGGGGAAUUUUGGACAAUGGGCGCAAGCCUGAUCCAGCCAUGCCGCGUGAGUGAAGAAGGCCUUCGGGUUGUAAAGCUCUUUCGGUGGGGAAGAAAUUGCUUCGGUUAAUACCUGGAGUAGAUGACGGUACCCGCAUAAGAAGCACCGGCUAACUACGUG
rnacentral:rRNA from 1 species